rnacentral:lncRNA from 1 species
AAGGUUCUAGAACAUGGUUCACAAUGGACCUAUCAUUCACUAUAAUGCAGAUCCAUAGGGAGUAGUAUAUCAGAACACCAGAAAACGUGAUAUAGAAAGUAGAACAGGAAAAUUCAUCGUCAUAAUGAAAUGUGAGAAUCCUCUGGCAUUUAGAGUGAUUAGGUUUUAAAGGAUUCUAUGAAUAAAGGAAUUUGAGAGUGACUGUAAUGGGUAUCUAUAAUGAGAUGAGGAAGAAAGAUAUGCUAUAAUAUGAUUUUCAUUAUGGCAGAUGACAGACAAGUAUUAUUUUUAAAAUUGUUUUUCUUUUUUCCUAUUAUUCUUUCCUACCUCUUUUCUCUUUGAGCAGGAAAGAGAAUGAAGACCACACAUAGUUGACACUGGGCUGAAUAUGAGCCACUAGAUUGGAGUAUCAUAGAAUAUCCUGGGCUGAGGGAACUAUGUGAAAGACUGGGUUCUCUGGAGGACAAAGCAUGGAUAAUACAAACAGUCAAUAUAGAACAAGAAAAAAAAGAUACCAACAAACAUUGAAAUGUUAUCUAAGGCAUGGGAAGAUUUCCCCUGGCAGAAGGGAAAGAUGAGAAUGAUGUGUUCCAAUAGCCUUAACAUGGCAGAAGCAAGAAGUAAGGGGCAAUUAGAAUUUAUCUGGCUAGAUAUCAAAGAAACUGAGGUCAUCUACUGCAUCCUGAGCCAUCACCAGUUGUAUUCACUUGCAUCUUGCCACUGGACUUCAAUGACUGAAAGAGAGAGUGAGGCCAAAGACUUUGUGCAACUGCCUCAUUUAAGUUCAGUUCAUGAGUGAGUCAAAAGACAUCAUCUGAUAUAAUUUUGGUCCUCUUCAAGUACAAAGGACAACAAUCAAACACCAGUUUGUCUCUUUAUACUAAAAAUAUCUUAAAUUCAUCUUCUUGUUCUACUAUAUAAAUUCUUGUUCUACUAUCAAGGCAUGCUGUUUUCUUCCUAGAGAAUCUAGAUUGGAGAAGUUAGUUGGCACAGUUGAUAAACAUGCUGGACUUCGACGCAGAAAGACCUGAGUUCAAAAUAGGACUCAGAAACUUAUUACUAGACAUAUGAC